rnacentral:rRNA from 1 species
UACGUAGGUGGCAAGCGUUAUUCGGAAUUAUUGGGCGUAAAGCGCGCGCAGGUGGUUUCUUAAGUCUGAUGUGAAAGCCCACGGCUCAACCGUGGAGGGUCAUUGGAAACUGGGAGACUUGAGUGCAGAAGAGGAAAGUGGAAUUCCAUGUGUAGCGGUGAAAUGCGUAGAGAUAUGGAGGAACACCAGUGGCGAAGGCGACUUUCUGGUCUGUAACUGACACUGAGGCGCGAAAGCGUGGGGAGCAAACAGG